CGAGGCUGUGGGCACUGGGAGUUGGCC
rnacentral:piRNA from 1 species